GACGAACGCUGGCGGCGCGCUUAACACAUGCAAGUCGAGCGAUAACCAUGGCUUCGGCCAUGGGGAGAGCGGCGAACGGGUGAGUAACACGUGAGCGAUCUGCCCUCGACACCGGGAUAGCCCGGGGAAACCCGGAUUAAUACCGGAUGGCCUCUCGAGCCCACGGGCUCGUUAGAAAAGAUGGCUUCGGCUUUCGGUCGAGGAGGAGCUUGCGGCGGAUUAGCUUGUUGGUGGGGUAACGGCUCACCAAGGCGACGAUCCGUAGCUGGUCUGGGAGGACGAUCAGCGACACUGGGACUGAGACACGGCCCAGACUCCUACGGGAGGCAGCAGUGGGGAAUCUUGCGCAAUGGGCGAAAGCCUGACGCAGCGACGCCGCGUGAGGGAAGAAGGCCUUCGGGUUGUAAACCUCUUUCAGGAGGGACGAAGCCACUCGGGUUAAUACCCCAGAGGGUGACGGUACCUCCAGAAGAAGCCCAGGCUAACUACGUGCCAGCAGCCGCGGUAACAC
rnacentral:rRNA from 1 species